CUUCAUCGCUAAUGUUCCGAUUGUUUGGCAUGCCAAUAUGAACGUCAGCAUUCCCUACCUUCAAAUUAAUAAGAGACUCAAAGUUUGGCCUAGCUUUAGUGAUACAAAGCUCUCAGCAGAGUGGAGGAUAUGUGCUUUGAUUUAAGAUCGACCCAAUGGUAUACGCUUCAAGAUGAAGUUAAAGAGAUCAACUCACUCCAUCUUUGGAGUGGACUAUGAGAUGGAGAAAAAGCCUCAGCCACUGGAGGAGCUGACGGUGGACCAACUCCCUGAUGAUGUGGAAUUUGAGCCCGAUGAGCAGACUGAUGCUUUCACCGUGAGUGUGCUUAGACUGUCAUCCCUCCUCUGGGAAUCCGCUAUUUGUUUUCACACUCUGAAAAUAGCAGGUUGCUAAGUCAUGUUACACAACAUACCGCAAACAUGGCUUUAUGUUGCCUAGUACCUAUCGUGUUGAUACAGACUGAGGUGUACUUUGUCAAAAGGUU